AACGAACGCUGGCGGCAGGCUUAACACAUGCAAGUCGAGCGCCUCGCAAGAGGAGCGGCAGACGGGUGAGUAACGCGUGGGAACGUACCCUUAUCUUCGGAAUAGCUCUGGGAAACUGGAAGUAAUACCGAAUGUGCCCUUAGGGGGAAAGAUUUAUCGGAUAAGGAUCGGCCCGCGUUGGAUUAGCUAGUUGGUGGGGUAAAGGCCUACCAAGGCGACGAUCCAUAGCUGGUCUGAGAGGAUGAUCAGCCACAUUGGGACUGAGACACGGGCCAAACUCCUACGGGAGGCAGCAGUGGGGAAUAUUGGACAAUGGGCGCAAGCCUGAUCCAGCCAUGCCGCGUGAGUGAUGAAGGCCUUAGGGUUGUAAAGCUCUUUCACCGGAGAAGAUAAUGACGGUAUCCGGAGAAGAAGCCCCGGCUAACUUCGUG
rnacentral:rRNA from 1 species